rnacentral:rRNA from 1 species
GAAUUCGAUUAACGCGAAGAACCUUACCCAGGCUUGAACAGCGAGUGACCACUCACGAAAGUGAGCUUCCGCAAGGACACUCGUAGAGGUGCUGCAUGGCUGUCGUCAGCUCGUGUCGUGAGAUGUUGGGUUAAGUCCCGCAACGAGCGCAACCCUUGUUUGCUGUUGCCAUCAGGUUAUGCUGGGCACUCUGCAAAGACUGCCGGUGAUAAACCGGAGGAAGGUGGGGAUGACGUCAAGUCAGCAUGGCCUUUAUGUCUGGGGCUACACACGUGCUACAAUGGCCGGUACAAACCGUCGCAAAACCGCAAGGUGGAGCUAAUCGGAGAAAGCCGGUCUCAGUUCGGAUAGCAGGCUGCAACUCGCCUGCUUGAAGUUGGAAUCGCUAGUAAUCGCGGAUCAGCACGCCGCGGUGAAUACGUUCCCGGGCCUUGUCACACCGAAUCACUA